GAAGAAAGAAGUUUCAGUUUAGACAAUGCUUAUUUUUUUUAAGGAAGUGGGGUGGUAGUGGGGUGUAGGUUGUGGUGAGAGAGUAAGAAGAUAUAAAUUCAGUUAUUUAACAUGAGAUUUCUAUAUGUCACACACACUUGUAUGAGAACUCAGCAGAAAGCAAGAUUUUUUUACAUUUUGAAGCCAAGCCAGAACUAAAAAGAACUUUUUGUAGUAAAAUGUUCAGUUGAGAAAACAAAGAAAAUAAACCAUGAUACCGUAAAGGCAUGACUUUUUUAACUAUAAGAAUUUGUUUCCCAAGUUUAACUUAUUAAUAUUAAAUGAUCUUUUACACCUAAUUGUCAUGACUUUCACUGUGCAUUGUGAGGAUUUCAUGUCAUCAGUUCAAGAUUUUUUUUUUUGAUCAUUAAAUAAUAAUUUAAAAAAAUCCCUGUAAUUUUGUAUUUCCUUCUAGAAAUCAGAGUUUUAGAGCUCUUGAGGGCUGAUGGAGAUCAUCAGCACAUCCUAAUUUUGUUGAUUUUGAGGUACAUUUUUGAAGAGCAUGGGAGGAUCUAAGGCUUCCUUGCUGAACUGCUAUCUAUAUCUGGGGAUGGUAAAGACAAAUUUUCAGGAAAAUCUUCAGCUGCAGUAUGGCAAAACACUAAAACUCAACACUCAAACUUGGUAGGAAAAGUCAAGACGUAAGCUAAGAAUUCCAUAUAAAUAUGUGGCUAAAACAGCAUAUCAACAUGUAUUUUAAAACAGAAUUUUUUAAUAAAAACCCACAUAUCUGGCAAUAUAUUAACAAAGGACUCUUUUUUAACUUUAUUGGUGUUUCAAUAAUCUUCAUUAAUUAGAAAAAGGAGGCAUUUUGAAAUUUCAAACUGAAAAGGAAUGGAGUUUAGGAAGUUUUUAUUUUAUUUUUUAUUUUAUUUUGUUGGGUUUUAUUUUUUAUGGAAAGAGGAAAAAGCAAGAUCUUAGAUUAACUGUAAACUGACAUUGCUGUUAUUUGAUUUAAAAAAAAUAUUUACUUUUCAGUUAGAUAACAUUAAGGUUUGAUGUUGAUAUUUAAAUAGAAAUGUAAAUUUAAAGCAAAAUUCCAAUUCUAUGAAUUAAUCUACAGAUCAAUUAAACAGAAUGAAUGAAAUUUCACUCUUAAAAGUAAAUAUACUCCCUUGCAUCCCUUUCAAUUUUCCGUUUUCCAAAGAUUUAACUUUGUUAAAACCUGAAGGCAGUAGUAGGGAAAAUAUUGCUUUUCCUGAUAGAAGUGGUAGAAUUUUUUGUAAGUUGUGAUUUUUUUAAAUUCCAGAGUUUAGCACUCCUUUUUUGUAAAUAUGGUUCAUAGUAGGCUUGAGGAAGAUAAUUACUAUUUUCAACAUUUGACAAAAGUUAUUAAGCUUGGUGCUUUUUUUUGCACUCAGCUAUAUGCUACAGGAAGACCUUACACAGCAUAGAGAAAUAACCAAUCUGUAUUUUUUUUCCUUAAACUGAUGCAGAAUUUUGAAAUGAAACUAGUAGGAAAUAUGUGCAUGAUCUCAUUAUUGCUUUGUGAUCAUUGCACAAAACAAUAAUGCAAUAAAUAUUUUUAAUAAGACCAGAAACCUUGAUUGCUUUAAGAUUUUAUUUCUAUUGCUAUAGUGAAUCUGAGAAAACUGUAAUGCAACCACUUAAGCAACCUCCUGCCAUGGAAGCAAUCCAAAAAUCAGAACAAAAGCCUCCUACAGACUGGAUGUGACGCCUUCGAUUGUUAUCAUUCAGCACACAUCUUAGUAAACUAGCAACCUUUCCUAGUUCUAGUCCUAGAAUGCUGCAGCUUCUUGUCUAGUGGGGAGAGACCAGCACAAAAAUGAUAAAGCAGGACCUGUGUACUUCGUCUUGGAACAAAUUCACAGCUCUAAAAAAGCAAGGCAUCUUUCUUCAAAUGACAUCUAAAACUUUAGCUGUCCAUAUUUUAAAGGUGAAGAAGUGGGUCGUAUUUCACAGCAACACUUAUCCAACUAAACAAGCUGCUGCCUUUUUUCCCACCAAGAUUUUUCAGACACAUUCAUGGGCAUCUCUCUAGGACUGAUUGGAAAGAUUAUGCAGACUUCUGUAAGAACAUUAUUAUAAUAAUGUCUACUGAUAAAGGGUUGUUCUAUAAAAAUAGUAUAAAACAUGUAUAAGAGUCUGAAGCCACCAAGUGGGCUUAACUCAGGAGAUGUUGUUGUGGUAAAGCGCACUCUAUUUUUUUUCCAUGUGAGAUACUUCUUCAGUUUCCAGUUCCACUUUUUACUUCAAAUUCUUGUUCACACUACCCUUGACAAAAUUAUUAUGAUUUGUGCCAUGCUGCACAUUCUUUGUUCUUAGAAGUGACAGAAAACCUUCAUAGAGCUCUGUCAACCUCCUUCAAAUAAAUGUGUGAGAGAAAGA